UGGCAUUUCGUACGCUCAAUUUUUCUACUAUUAUUAUUAUCAUUAUUAAUAUAGCCUUACUAUAAUAUAAUUUUUAUUCACUUUCUGCUGAAUGACAAGCUGUUUUCGAUUAUCCAGUUGAGCCAGUGAUUCAGUAAGUUGCUUGUAACAGAAGAUGCUUAUUUGUCACGACUUACAGGUUUACAUGUGUCAUUCAUUACUGUAAAAAAAUAUACUUUUUAUUUUCAGUAGCAGAAGCAGAGACGGUUUGUGCAACAGCAACAAGGUGUGGGUCAAAACCCAUCUGUCAAGACGCUUGUCCACUUGCUGUCCGCCCCACCAGCCCAACGAUUGUGCUGGAGAACCACAAGUCACAGAAAAAGAGAAUGUCAUAAUCAACUGGAACAGCAUGAGGUGGUAGAGACAGAGAAGAAGUGCCCUUGAUGAGGAAACCAUGGCAGCCAUAUAUACGUCAAGAAGAGAUUUCCAAAUGUGUCCAAAGAGGCUUUGAGGAUUUGACGUGGGGAAACUGAGACUUCUUGAAAGCAAAAAAGUUAUAUUUGUUUGAAUAUUGUAAUUUUUUGAACAUUGUAAAGUAUGUUCUUUGCUGAUUAUUAUUCAAAUGUUCAUGUGUUAUAGACAACAAAUAAAAGUUUUUCAAAUGUGACAUGUGAAUGUAUUUUCUUGGGUUGAAAUAUAUGUAGGGCAAAAUAUAUUUUUAAAUGCUUUUGUAAAAUAUAUUUUGAAAAUAUAUUUUUAAAAAAUAUACAAAAA